rnacentral:rRNA from 1 species
CAGCCGCCGCGGGAAUACGUAGGUCCCGAGCGUUGUCCGGAUUUAUUGGGCGUAAAGGGAGCGCAGGCGGUUUAGUAAGUCUGAAGUUAAAGGCAUUGGCUCAACCGGGGAGGGUCAUUGGAAACUGGGAAACUUGAGUGCAGAAGAGGAGAGUGGAAUUCCACGUGUAGCGGUGAAGUGCGUAGAGAUGUGGAGGAACACCAGUGGCGAAGGCGACUCUCUGGUCUGUAACUGACGCUGAGGAGCGAAAGCGUGGGGAGCGAACAGGAUUAGAUACCCGCGUAGUCCCUGUCUCUUAUAC